rnacentral:rRNA from 1 species
AACGAACGCUGGCGGCAUGCCUAACACAUGCAAGUCGAACGAAGGCUUCGGCCUUAGUGGCGCACGGGUGCGUAACGCGUGGGAAUCUGCCCUUUGGUUCGGAAUAACAGCUGGAAACGGCUGCUAAUACCGGAUGAUGACGAAAGUCCAAAGAUUUAUCGCCAGAGGAUGAGCCCGCGUUGGAUUAGGUAGUUGGUGGGGUAAAGGCCUACCAAGCCGACGAUCCAUAGCUGGUCUGAGAGGAUGAUCAGCCACACUGGGACUGAGACACGGCCCAGACUCCUACGGGAGGCAGCAGUGGUGAAUAAUGGACGCUGGGCGAAAGCCUGAUCCAUCAAUGCCGGGUGAGUGAUGAAGGCCCUAGGGUUGUAAAGCUCUUUUACCCGGGAAGAUAAUGACUGUACCGGGAGAAUAAGCCCCGGCUAACUCCGU